UCUGUCCGCCAGAGAAUUACGGGCGAAAGCCUAAAACUCAAAAGACUUGACGGUGUCCCAACCCUGCCUAGAGGAGCCUGUUUCAUAAUCGACAACCCCCGCUCAACCCAACCUCCCCUCGAACACCCCAGCCUAUAUACCGCCGUCUUACUUUUAGCCUACCCUUUGAAAGAAAUAAAGUGGGCACAAUAGUCCAACAACUAAAAAGUCAGGUCAAGGUGUAGCUUAUGGGAAGGAGAAAAUGGGCUACAUUUUCUGCUUCAGAACACCACGGAAUAUGCCCUGAAAUAGGCAUAUAAAGGCGGAUUUAGUAGUAAG
rnacentral:rRNA from 1 species